UUGUUUCAGCCGCCGCGGUAAUGCGUAGGGUGCAAGCGUUAAUCGGAAUUACUGGGCGUAAAGCGUGCGCAGGCGGUUAUGCAAGACAGAGGUGAAAUCCCCGGGCUCAACCUGGGAACUGCCUUUGUGACUGCAUGGCUAGAGUACGGUAGAGGGGGAUGGAAUUCCGCGUGUAGCAGUGAAAUGCGUAGAUAUGCGGAGGAACACCGAUGGCGAAGGCAAUCCCCUGGACCUGUACUGACGCUCAUGCACGAAAGCGUGGGAAGCAAACAGGAUUAGAUACCCUGGUAGUCCACGCCCUAAACGAUGUCAACUGGUUGUUGGGAGGGUUUCUUCUCAGUAACGUAGCUAACGCGUGAAGUUGACCGCCUGGGGAGUACGGCCGCAAGGUUGAAACUCAAAGGAAUUGACGGGGACCCGCACAAGCGGUGGAUGAUGUGGUUUAAUUCGAUGCAACGCGAAAAACCUUACCUACCCUUGACAUGCCAGGAAUCCUGAAGAGAUUUGGGAGUGCUCGAAAGAGAGCCUGGACACAGGUGCUGCAUGGCCGUCGUCAGCUCGUGUCGUGAGAUGUUGGGUUAAGUCCCGCAACGAGCGCAACCCUUGUCAUUAGUUGCUACGAAAGGGCACUCUAAUGAGACUGCCGGUGACAAACCGGAGGAAGGUGGGGAUGACGUCAGGUCAUCAUGGCCCUUAUGGGUAGGGCUACACACGUCAUACAAUGGCCGGGACAGAGGGCUGCCAACCCGCGAGGGGGAGCUAAUCCCAGAAACCCGGUCGUAGUCCGGAUCGUAGUCUGCAACUCGACUGCGUGAAGUCGGAAUCGCUAGUAAUCGCGGAUCAGCUUGCCGCGGUGAAUACGUUCCCGGGUCUUGUACACACCGCCCGUCAAAC
rnacentral:rRNA from 1 species